CAGUUGAUACUGUCAGUCUUGAGUACAGUAGAGGUGGGCGGAAUUCGUGGUGUAGCGGUGAAAUGCUUAGAUAUCACGAAGAACUCCGAUUGCGAAGGCAGCUCACUGGACUGCAACUGACACUGAUGCUCGAAAGUGUGGGUAUCAAACAGGAUUAGAUACCCUGGUAGUCCACACAGUAAACGAUGAAUACUCGCUGUUUGCGAUAUACAGUAAGCGGCCAAGCGAAAGCAUUAAGUAUUCCACCUGGGGAGUACGCCGGCAACGGUGAAACUCAAAGGAAUUGACGGGGGCCCGCACAAGCGGAGGAACAUGUGGUUUAAUUCGAUGAUACGCGAGGAACCUUACCCGGGCUUAAAUUGCAGUGGAAUGAUGUGGAAACAUGUCAGUGAGCAAUCACCGCCGUGAAGGUGCUGCAUGGUUGUCGUCAGCUCGUGCCGUGAGGUGUCGGCUUAAGUGCCAUAACGAGCGCAACCCUUAUCUUCAGUUACUAACAGGUCAUGCUGAGGACUCUGGAGAGACUGCCGUCGUAAGAUGUGAGGAAGGUGGGGAUGACGUCAAAUCAGCACGGCCCUUACGUCCGGGGCUACACACGUGUUACAAUGGGGGGUACAGAAGGCAGCUAGCGGGUGACCGUAUGCUAAUCCCAAAAUCCUCUCUCAGUUCGGAUCGAAGUCUGCAACCCGACUUCGUGAAGCUGGAUUCGCUAGUAAUCGCGCAUCAGCCACGGCGCGGUGAAUACGUUCCCGGGCCUUGUACACACCGCCCGUCAAGCCAUGGGAGCCGGGGGUACCUGAAGUACGUAACCGCAAGGAUCGUCCUAGGGUAAAACUGGUGACUGGGGCUAAGUCGUAACAAGGUAACC
rnacentral:rRNA from 1 species